UAGAUACCCUGGUAGUCCACGCUGUAAACGAUGAGUGCUAGGUGUGAGGGGUUUCAAUACCCUUCGUGCCGCAGUUAACACAAUAAGCACUCCGCCUGGGGAGUACGGUCGCAAGACUGAAACUCAAAGGAAUUGACGGGGGCCCGCACAAGCGGUGGAGCAUGUGGUUUAAUUCGAAGCAACGCGAAGAACCUUACCAGGGCUUGACAUCCCUCUGACGGCUCUAGAGAUAGGGCGUCCCUUCGGGGCA
rnacentral:rRNA from 1 species